AUACGGAGGGAGCGAGCGUUAAUCGGAAUUACUGGGCGUAAAGCGCGCGUAGGCGGCUUUGUCAGUCGGAUGUGAAAGCCCUGGGCUUAACCUGGGAAUGGCAUUCGAUACUGCAGAGCUAGAGUAUGGUAGAGGGAAGUGGAAUUUCCGGUGUAGCGGUGAAAUGCGUAGAUAUCGGAAGGAACACCAGUGGCGAAGGCGACUUACUGGACCAAUACUGACGCUGAGGUGCGAAAGCGUGGGGAGCAAACAGGAUUAGAUACCCCAGUAGUCC
rnacentral:rRNA from 1 species